ACAGCGGACACUGAGAUGACAGUUUUAUUUGCUUUAUCUCCUUGCAGGAAGCAGUUAAGCUAUUUCAAAGAGAUUAUUGGGUUUUAAUGAUCCAAGGCAUUAAAAGAUCUCAUCACAGCAAUACUGACACUGUACCUCGGGUAUAAAGAACCUGUCCAGCAAGUACCAGGAUCCCUGGAAUGACUCUUCAUACAGCAUGGUGUGCAGUGGCAUCUGGACACCUUGAGGGAGGAAAUGGAAGACACAGAACUACAGCUAGCCCUCAACACACAAGUGCCACCAACAAUCCUCAAGGCUGCCUGUGAUGGUUUGCAUAUGCUUGGCUCAGGGAGUGGCACUAUUAGAAGGUGUGGCCUUGUUGGAGGAAGUGUGUCACUGUGGGGGUGGGCUUGGAGACCCUCUUCCUAGCCGCCUGAGGAUACUCAGUCUGUUCCUGGCUUUCUGAGAUGUAGAACUCAGCUCCUCCUGCACCAUGCCUGCCUGGAUGCUGUGUUCCUGCCAUGCUCCCCUCUUGAUGAUAAUGGUCUGAACUUCUGAACCUGUAAGCCAGCCCCAAUUAAAUGUUGUCCUUUAUAAAACUUACACUGGUCAUGGUGUCUGUUCGCAGCAAUAAGACCCUAACUA